rnacentral:rRNA from 1 species
AGAAUCAACGCUGGCGGCGUGCCUAACACAUGCAAGUCGAACGCGAAAGCCCCGAAAGGGGCAAGUAGAGUGGCAAACGGGUGAGUAACGCGUGGGUGACCUGCCUUCGAGCGGGGGAUAACGUUCCGAAAGGGACGCUAAUACCGCAUAACAUCCUGCCCUUGAAGAGGUGGAGAUCAAAGCUGGGGAUCGCAAGACCUGGCACUUGAAGAGGGGCUCGCGUCUGAUUAGCUAGUUGGUGAGGUAACGGCUCACCAAGGCAACGAUCAGUA